AUCCGCACCAGUGUCUAA
rnacentral:misc_RNA from 1 species